AACCACUGGUCAUCUGAGUACUCAGACUGCCUCAGUUGAGCAACCUUCAACCAAGGAGGGGAACCAAACUGAACCCAUUCCUACUACCAACCAAACUCCGCAGAUAUUGACCAAUUCCACACAAACAACAGUGACACCACGUAAAAGACCGACCACUGAAACUGGAUCUACCACUGGUCAUCUCAGUACAGAGAUUACCACGAUUGGGCAGUCCUCAACCAAAGAAGUGAACCAAACAAGACCUGUUACUAACCAAACUCAGCAGAUAUCA